rnacentral:rRNA from 1 species
GAUGAACGCUGGCGGCGUGCCUAAUACAUGCCAGUCGAGCGAACAGACGAGGAGCUUGCUCCUCUGACGUUAGCGGCGGACGGGUGAGUAACACGUGGAUAACCUACCUAUAAGACUGGGAUAACUUCGGGAAACCGGAGCUAAUACCGGAUAAUAUAUUGAACCGCAUGGUUCAAUAGUGAAAGACGGUUUUGCUGUCACUUAUAGAUGGAUCCGCGCCGCAUUAGCUAGUUGGUAAGGUAACGGCUUACCAAGGCAACGAUGCGUAGCCGACCUGAGAGGGUGAUCGGCCACACUGGAACUGAGACACGGUCCAGACUCCUACGGGAGGCAGCAGUAGGGAAUCUUCCGCAAUGGGCGAAAGCCUGACGGAGCAACGCCACGUGAGUGAUGAAGGUCUUCGGAUCGUAAAACUCUGUUAUUAGGGAAGAACAAAUGUGUAAGUAACUAUGCACGUCUUGACGGUACCUAAUCAGAAAGCCACGGCUAACUACGUG